CUCAGAAGACGGGGCAGAUUCAGAACUGCAGGGACGUAAGUUCAGAGAGUGAACCAUUACAGAAUGGAGGAGAAAUUUCCCUACAGCGAGAAACUACAAUCAUUUAAGGAUUUAAAAAAAUCCUCCGUGUACUUACCAUCUAUCUUUGUUUCCGGCACCAAGUAACAGGCACUGACCAUUUGGGGAACGAUACCUUCUAUAAACAUGAGUCCCUUAUUUCCUUGGAAGAAGUAAACGAGGCCAUUUGGGGUGGCAACCCCUUCAACACUGCCACAUUUCCUUUGUUCAGGCAUCUGCCUCCUGACUUGCUUAUGUAUAAAGACCCCAGUGUAACUGAAAUAUAUGUCAUAAUAAAAAUAUCUUUAUUUGA